rfam:Danio rerio chromosome 4, GRCz11 reference primary assembly.
GCAUUGGUGGUUCAGUGGUAGAAUUCUCGCCUCCCACGCGGGAGAACCGGGUCCGAUUCCCCGCCAAUGUA